rnacentral:rRNA from 1 species
AAGUGAAAUGUGAUAACUGAGAGACGGGUGAGUAAUGCAUAGGAAUCUACCUAGUAGUAUGGGAUAGCCACUGGAAAUGGUGGGUAAUACCGUAUAAUCCCCGCGGGGGAAAGAUUUAUCGCUAUUAGAUGAGCCUAUGUCGGAUUAGCUAGUUGGUGGGGUAAUGGCCUACCAAGGCAGUGAUCUGUAGCUGGUCUGAGAGGAUGAUCAGCCACACUGGAACUGAGACACGGUCCAGACUCCUACGGGAGGCAGCAGUGGGGAAUAUUGGACAAUGGGCGCAAGCCUGAUCCAGCUAUGCCGCGUGAGUGAGGAAGGCCUUAGGGUUGUAAAACUCUUUCAGUAGGGAAGAUAAUGACGGUACCUAUA